AGUGAACGCUGGCGGUAGGCCUAACACAUGCAAGUCGAACGGCAGCACAGUAAGAGCUUGCUCUUACGGGUGGCGAGUGGCGGACGGGUGAGGAAUACAUCGGAAUCUACUUUUUCGUGGGGGAUAACGUAGGGAAACUUACGCUAAUACCGCAUACGACCUACGGGUGAAAGCAGGGGAUCUUCGGACCUUGCGCGAUUGAAUGAGCCGAUGUCGGAUUAGCUAGUUGGCGGGGUAAAGGCCCACCAAGGCGACGAUCCGUAGCUGGUCUGAGAGGAUGAUCAGCCACACUGGAACUGAGACACGGUCCAGACUCCUACGGGAGGCAGCAGUGGGGAAUAUUGGACAAUGGGCGAAAGCCUGAUCCAGCCAUACCGCGUGGGUAAAGAAGGCCUUCGGGUUGUAAAGCCCUUUUGUUGGGAAAGAAAAGCAGCAGGUUAAUACCCCGCUGUUCUGACGGUACCCAAAGAAUAAGCACCGGCUAACUUCGUG
rnacentral:rRNA from 1 species